GCACUACUGAGGAGUCCCAUAAUAGGACGAAACGGCCGUCCA
rnacentral:hammerhead_ribozyme from 1 species